CUACGGGAUGCUCCAGUGAGGAAUAUUGCGCAAUGGGCGAAAGCCUGACGCAGCGACGCCGCGUGGAGGAUGAAGGUUUUUGGAUUGUAAACUCCUGUUAAGUGGGAAGAAAGACUCAUCAGUAAUAUGGAUGAGGAAUGACGGUACCAUUAGAGAAAGCACCGGCUAACUUCGUGCCAGCAGCCGCGGUAAUACGAGGGGUGCAAGCGUUAUUCGGAAUCAUUGGGCGUAAAGGGUACGUAGGCUGCAUAUUAAGUCAACUGUUAAAUCUUCCGGCCUAACUGGAAGCUUGCGGUAGAUACUGGUGUGCUAGAGGGUGAGAGAGAGAAGUGGAAUUCUCGGAGUAGCGGUAAAAUGCGUGGAUCUCGAGAGGAACACCGAUGGCGAAGGCAGCUUCUUGGCUCAUUCCUGACGCUCAGGUACGAAAGCGUGGGGAGCAAACAGGAUUAGAUACCCCAGUAGUC
rnacentral:rRNA from 1 species